UGAAUACGAGACGCUACGGCGUCGAAGCAGUCUAUGUCAUACUUCCAAGAAAAGCUCGCAAUGUCAUAAACAAAUAAUGCCUGUACCAUAACCGACACAGGUGGGUAGGUAGAGUAUACUAAGGGGCGCGAGAUAACUCUCUCUAAGGAACUCGGCAAAAUGACUCCGUAACUUCGGGAGAAGGAGUGCCUUAUUUAUAAGGUUGCAAUAACAAGAUACAAGCAACUGUUUAUCAAAAACACAGGUCUCCGCUAAGUCGUAAGACGAUGUAUGGGGGCUGACGCCUGCCCAGUGCCAGAAGGUUAAAGAAGUUGGUUAGCAUUCGCGAAGCUGAUAACUGAAGCCCUGGUGAACGGCGGCCGUAACGAUAACGGUCCUAAGGUAGCUAAAUUCCUUGUCGGGUAAGUUCCGACCCGCACGAAAGGCGUAAUGAUUUGGAUACUGUCUCGGAGAGGGGCUCGGUGAAAUAGACUUGUCUGUGAAGAUGCGGACUACCUGCACCUGGACAGAAAGACCCUAUGAAGCUUUACUGUAACUUGAAAUUGAAAUUGGACUUUAUUUGCGCAGCAUAGGUGGGAGGCGUUGAGAGUAUUCUUGCGGGAGUAUUGGAGCCAUCAGUGAGAUACCACUCUUGUAAUGUUAGAUUUCUAACUUUGGAUCAUUAUCUGGUCAAAGAACAGUUUCAGGCGGGCAGUUUGACUGGGGCGGUCGCCUCCCAAAUGGUAACGGAGGCGUACAAAGGUUUCCUCUGAACGGGUAGAAAUCGUAUCUAGAGUGUAAAGGCAUAAGGAAGCUUGACUGUGAGACCUACAAGUCGAGCGGGGACGAAAGUCGGUCUUAGUGAUCUGACGGUGCUGAGUGGAAAGGCCGUCACUCAACGGAUAAAAGUUACUCUAGGAUAACAGGCUGGUCUCCCCCAAGAGUUCACAUCGACGGGGAGGUUUGGCACCUCGAUGUCGGCUCAUCGCAUCCUGGGGCGGUAGUACGUCCCAAGGGUUGGGCUGUUCGCCCAUGGAAGCGGUACGCGAGCUGGGUUCAGAACGUCGUGAGACAGUUCGGUCCAUAUCCGGUGUAGGCGUUAGAAUAUUGAGAGGAGCCUUCUUUAGUACGAGAGGACCGAGAAGGACAUACCUCUGGUGUACCAGUUAUCGUGCCAACGGUAAACGCUGGGUAGCUAUGUAUGGAGAGGAUAACCGCUGAAAGCAUCUAAGUGGGAAGCCCACCUCAAGAUAAGUA
rnacentral:rRNA from 1 species